CCUACGGGAGGCAGCAGUGGGGAAUAUUGCACAAUGGGCGCAAGCCUGAUGCAGCGACGCCGCGUGCGGGAUGACGGCCUUCGGGUUGUAAACCGCUUUUGACUGGGAGCAAGCCCUUCGGGGUGAGUGUACCUUUCGAAUAAGCACCGGCUAACUACGUGCCAGCAGCCGCGGUAAUACGUAGGGUGCAAGCGUUAUCCGGAAUUAUUGGGCGUAAAGGGCUCGUAGGCGGUUCGUCGCGUCCGGUGUGAAAGUCCAUCGCUUAACGGUGGAUCCGCGCCGGGUACGGGCGGGCUUGAGUGCGGUAGGGGAGACUGGAAUUCCCGGUGUAACGGUGGAAUGUGUAGAUAUCGGGAAGAACACCAAUGGCGAAGGCAGGUCUCUGGGCCGUCACUGACGCUGAGGAGCGAAAGCGUGGGGAGCGAACAGGAUUAGAUACCCUGGUAGUCCACGCCGUAAACGGUGGAUGCUGGAUGUGGGGACCAUUCCACGGUCUCCGUGUCGGAGCCAACGCGUUAAGCAUCCCGCCUGGGGAGUACGGCCGCAAGGCUAAAACUCAAAGAAAUUGACGGGGGCCCGCACAAGCGGCGGAGCAUGCGGAUUAAUUCGAUGCAACGCGAAGAACCUUACCUGGGCUUGACAUGUUCCCGACAGCCCCAGAGAUGGGGCCUCCCUUCGGGGCGGGUUCACAGGUGGUGCAUGGUCGUCGUCAGCUCGUGUCGUGAGAUGUUGGGUUAAGUCCCGCAACGAGCGCAACCCUCGCCCUGUGUUGCCAGCACGUCGUGGUGGGAACUCACGGGGGACCGCCGGGGUCAACUCGGAGGAAGGUGGGGAUGACGUCAGAUCAUCAUGCCCCUUACGUCCAGGGCUUCACGCAUGCUACAAUGGCCGGUACAACGGGAUGCGACACUGUGAGGUGGAGCGGAUCCCUUAAAACCGGUCUCAGUUCGGAUUGGAGUCUGCAACCCGACUCCAUGAAGGCGGAGUCGCUAGUAAUCGCGGAUCAGCAACGCCGCGGUGAAUGCGUUCCCGGGCCUUGUACACACCGCCCGUCAAGUCAUGAAAGUGGGUAGCACCCGAAGCCGGUGGCCCAACCUUUUGGGGGGAGCCGUCUAAGGUGAGACUCGUGAUUGGGACUAAGUCGUAACAAGGUAGCCGUACCGGAAGGUGCGGCUG
rnacentral:rRNA from 1 species